UGAAGCGGCAACAGCUCAAAUUUGAAAGCUAGCCUUCGGGUUCGCAUUGUAAUUUGUAGAGGAUGAUUUGGGGAAGCCGCCUGUCUAAGUUCCUUGGAACAGGACGUCAUAGAGGGUGAGAAUCCCGUAUGUGACAGGAAAUGGCACCCUAUGUAAAUCUCCUUCGACGAGUCGAGUUGUUUGGGAAUGCAGCUCUAAAUGGGAGGUAAAUUUCUUCUAAAGCUAAAUAUUGGCGAGAGACCGAUAGCGCACAAGUAGAGUGAUCGAAAGAUGAAAAGCACUUUGGAAAGAGAGUUAAAAAGCACGUGAAAUUGUUGAAAGGGAAGCGCUUGCAAUCAGACUUGUUUAAACUGUUCGGCCGGUCUUCUGACCGGUUUACUCAGUUUGGACAGGCCAGCAUCAGUUUCGGCGGCCGGAUAAAGGCUCUGGGAAUGUGGCCUCCACUUCGGUGGAGGUGUUAUAGCCCGGGGUGUAAUACGGCCAGCCGGGACUGAGGUCCGCGCUUCGGCUAGGAUGCUGGCGUAAUGGUUGUAAGCGGCCCGUCUUGAAACACGGACCAAGGAGUCUAACAUCUAUGCGAGUGUUCGGGUGUCAAACCCCUGCGCGUAAUGAAAGUGAACGGAGGUGGGAACCGCAAGGUGCACCAUCGACCGAUCCUGAUGUCUUCGGAUGGAUU
rnacentral:rRNA from 1 species